CCAAGGGCACACUACCUUUCAAAUGCCAAGAAUGAACUUGGAGUUGUUUUUUCCCAAAGUAUAGCUGGAGUACCUACUGCUGAUCCGGAGGCUGAGGAGGAAGAUGGAGCUGCACUUGAAGAUCCGGGGACAAGAGGAGGAAGAAGAUGGCGCAACACUUGAUCCGAAGGCGGAGGAGGAAGAAAAUGAGGCAUCCAUCACUGGCGCGGACAAGGAGAGGGAAGCGGAGUCGUUGCCGCGAGUUCUGAAGGUGCGAGCUCGGAGGCAUAGGAUAAAUCGGAGGCGUGGAGGAGCAGCUGGCCUUGCUCGGAGAAGAGGCUCUUCAUCCGGCAGGCGAGUUGCUGGCUUGCUGCUGAGGGCAAUCUAGAGUGACCUGCAGCUACUGCCGAGGGCGAUCUGGAACUGCUGUUGAGGGCGACCUGGGGAGGCGAUCUGGAGAGGCGAGCGAGCAAAGCGGGAGGUGCGAGGCGAGCGGUCUGGAGGGUGUCUGGAGCGGGUGAUGGGCCAAGGCCCAAAGCCUACCAGCGUUUUUUUAAUACUACCCAACGUGGGAAUCGAACGAAGACGACCGGACGUACGAAAAAAGGAACGGAACGUACGAAAAGGCCUGGUGCACGAAAAAAGUGGAGAAACAAUCCUCCCUAUAUUGGGUAGAGAGUAGAUUUGUCAAAUUUGCCAUCGAACGCGCGCUAUGGAUCAGACUUAUUUGAAUUUCAAAUUGCCCUUUAGAGGAACAUAUACAGGAAUAAAGCGUACAUAUAAGCA